rnacentral:rRNA from 1 species
GACAGAGGCCUCGAGCGUUAGGCGGAAUCACUGGGCUUAAAGCGUGUGUAGGCGGGCCCGUCAGUGUCUUGUGAAAUCCCACGGCUCAACCGUGGAACCGCUGGGCAUACUGCGGGUCUUGGGCCAACUAGGGGCAGCCGGAACAAGCGGUGGAGCGGUGAAAUGCGUAGAUAUCGCUUGGAACGCCGAAGGUGAAAACAGGCUGCUGGGGUUGCGCCGACGCUGAGACACGAAAGCCAGGGGAGCGAACGGG